rnacentral:rRNA from 1 species
GUGUCAGGAGGUUGGUCGUGCCACCGGUACGUACUGGUCUCACUGAUUCCUCCUUCCUGAAGAACCGUAAUGCCAUUAAUUUGGUGUUGCGGGGAAACAGGACUGUUACUUUGAAAAAAUUAGAGUGUUUAAAGCAAGCUAACGCUUGAAUACGUUAGCAUGGAAUAAUGAAAUAGGACGAUCGAUCCUAUUUUGUUGGUUUCUAGGAUUGACGUA